CGACCCUAACCUUCAAAAUCCCUAAUUGAAAUCUCCCAAAAUCUUUCUAUUGUCAUUGGACUGACAGCCACCUUCGUGAACCGUCCGGCGUCUACUAGGUCACCAUCACUGACGAGUUGAGAAUGUCCACCGAACCAACAUCUAUUGAGGAUAGUGUUACACCUCCUACUUUGAUAGAUUCUGAAAAUUUGGGAGUUGGAGCUUCAAGCCAAACAAAGGGGACUACUGGGAAAAGAAAAGCCACUCCUCAAAGAAUUUUCUGGGAAUGCAUCAGAGCCUACCUUAAAUUCAUGAGCUUUCGUAAGUUGAAGGGUAUAAUGCAAAUGGAGAUCUUUUGGAGAGAAGAAAUGAUACAAAUGGAGAAUAUUAAAGACUUACAUUUCAAUUAUGUGUUAAUUUUAAGAAUAAUGUAAUGUUUUUAAUUAUGUAGUGAUUCAAUCUUUAAUUCAGUUA